GCUCCAUUGGCGCAGCUGGUUAGCGCGUGGUGCUUAUAAAGACAAGAAAUGCCGAGGUCGCGAGUUCGAUCCUCCCAUGGAGCA
rnacentral:tRNA from 1 species